rnacentral:rRNA from 1 species
AUGCGCAUCUCUUUGCCUUGGGACGUCGAUGUCUAUGGCACAAUGGGACGUCGUCGUCGCAGUGAGGCUGAGGAAAUCCCUAACGAGAUGCUACAAGAAAUCCUGAUGAAGCUGCCGACCAAGGACGUGGCCCGCUCCUGCUGCGUCUCCAGGCACUGGCGCAGCGCCCUCGGAGACCCCACAUUCCGCAAGCUCCACGCGGCCAGCCCUGCCGCGCUUUCGGCAGAGCCCGAGUUCUUGCGCUUAUCCGGUGUGCCAUGCGGGCUCGGCCAGAGCGUCAAGACCAGUGUCUUCAGGUUAUCGUCGGACAAACCCAUGUGCUGCAUCGCCAAGCCCGAAGGCUACGGCCUCGCCGACAUCUGCAACGGCCUCCUCUGCUUCGUGCUUGAGGACCGCGCCGUCGAGGCGCCGGCGGUGGUGUGCAACCCCGCCACUGGCGAGACGCUGGCGCUUCCGGCGGCCCCUCCGCUCAGCAACAAGGACCAUGCGUAUUUAUUUGCCUUUGGGUUCAGUCCGCCCACCAACGAGUACAAGCUCUUCCGCCUCUCUUUCCCGCUAUGCUCCUACUCCUCCGAAGAGCGGGUGGACGUGGACGUCUACACCUUGGGUGACGCCCGCGGGUGGCGCAGAGACCCGUUCCUCUCACCCUCUCGCCCACUAACCAGAGGAAAUGACACUUCGACGCCAGUGCUGAUCGAUGGUAAACUUCACGUGGUCACUAAAGGCUGGAAUGCACCCAUAUGGCAGGAGGCUGCCGGAGUGCUGGUAGUGGACGUGCCUGCCGAGACGUGCCGCGCCUACCCUCUCCCGGACGGUCUCGGGACCUAUCGAUAUGAUAAUCUGCUGGCCUUUGAGCUGAAGGGGCGGCUGUGCCUCGCCGCACACGUGCUCAACAGCUGCAAUCGCCCCAAGGCCCUCCACUUCUGGGUCAUGGCCAUGGAGAACAAGGAAUCGGACGGCGAGAAGGAGCCACACUGGGAGUUGCGCUAA